rnacentral:rRNA from 1 species
UACAGAGGGUGCGAGCGUUGUUCGGAAUUAUUGGGCGUAAAGGGCGCGUAGGCGGUGCGGUAAGUCACCUGUGAAAUCUCCUGGCUCAACUGGGAGCUUGCAGGCGAAACUGCCGUGCUGGAGUGUGGGAGAGGUGCGUGGAAUUCCCGGUGUAGCGGUGAAAUGCGUAGAUAUCGGAAGAACACCAGUGGCGAAGGCGGCUGACUGGACAUGUAUUGACGCUGAGGUGCGAAAGCGUGGGGAGCAAACAGG